rnacentral:tRNA from 7 species
GGGGCUGUAGCUCAAUUGGGAGAGCGUUUGACUGGCAGUCAAAAGGUAGGGGGUUCGAAUCCCCCCAGCUCCACCA